rnacentral:rRNA from 1 species
CUGCGCUGCACGCCUCUGUUCCCUUCCUCACGACGCAACUGAAGCCGUCGUCUUUGUACUCUUCUUCUUCUUCUUCCCCAGAUCUUCCUCUACUACCGCUACCUCGUUUCUCCCCCUCUCCCGCACGGCAGCGUCGUUGCCCGCCAAACUCCUCACUCCACCCGUGGAAUCUCGCCUACUUUCCCGGCUCAGAUCCGAGCUCGUACGCGAAAUGGUGAUCCUUUGUGCUGCCCAACCUGCUCCUUCGGUUCAUUCUGAAUUUCUGUCUCGAUGGUUAUCACUCAACAGCCCCAAAAUGCCUUACGCUCUCAACUCAACCGCAACGAAACUCAGAAAGCAAAACAGACGUCGGCGGAUAAUUACUUACGCAAAAAGUUCUUCGUUACAAGAUUCAGUGGCCUCUGUAAAGCCAUCUCGUCUUCUGCCCACAGUGGAACCAAAAACAUUUCCCAAUAGUGUCCCUGAUGAGAUACUAUUAAAACUCAGAUUGGAAGAAUCUGAUGCCUUUUACAUACUAGAGCUGUGCACAAGUAGAGAACUUAGUUCCUCUUUGCUAGAUAAGAACUCCGCGAUCUUAGUCUGCUUAAUCGAUGUUGACGGUGACUCCUUGCUACAAAGAGUACCAGCAAUCUAUGGGGACCAACCUGCACAUGUCACCAAGCCGUUACAAUUCCUUCCUUUUCAAAGUGGUUCAGUUGAUAUCGUCACCUUUAAAGGUCCCAAAUUGCAAACAAUUAAAGAAAUCUGGAUCGGCCUUGAAUCAGGUUCAUGGAGAUUAGAUGGUUUAAGUUUGAAAGUGAUCCAUGGAGCCCGGAAUACACCUGAAGAUCUUGAGGGAACACUUGAGCCCAAGUUCAGCGGUUUACGGUACACGUUCGACAAGCUAGGUGCGCUGCUUGGUGAGGAUGGAGCUUCAGUAGUGGAAGCAAGGCCUACUGCUGUCACUGACCUGUCAGGAAUUAGCAUUUCUGAUCUUCAAGAGGGACAGCUAUCCUCAGCAAAGACAGCCUCAAGCAUUAAGGAAUUGAAGGAAGAUGGUCUGAGGGAGUAUGCUGAUCUCAAGCAAUCCUUGCUGCUUUACGACAUAUCUAUUGUUAUAACAGGUUUCUCUGCCUUCACUCUGGCUUUGAAUGAUGGAGCCGCCUACUCGUUCCUCGUCGGCGGGAUUGGAGGGUUCCUGUAUCUAUUGCUGCUCCAAAGAUCUGUGGACGGGUUACCGGCAAUUAGUUCUCCUUCAGAAGCGAGCAGUUCAGAGCCCACUAUGAACUUCAGCGGCGUAAGAAGGCCAUGGUUGAUAUUGUCGAUUGUAAUGGUUGCUGGGGCUGUUGCACUGAAGUACGGUGCUGGUGGUGACAGCUUCGAGCUGACUCCGACUGAGCUAUUUGUUGGCGCUGCAGGGUUCCUGGCGAACAAGGUUGCUGUUCUUCUGGCAGCAUUCAAACCCUUGCAAAGUAAUUUGGAGAGCGACGAUGGAUCUGUGGACUGAGCUUCUUGACGACAUUGCUCUGAAUAUACUAGCAUAAUGUUAAAAAAGGGGGUAAAAUUUAACAGAUGUAGCAUUUCAUAGUAGCUCGACAGCAUUCAAGAUCUUAAGCUAAGUAUGGAAAGUGCAGGGGAUCAGCUCAGAGAUAGAAUUGAAGAGCGUGUGCUUGUAACUUGAGCCUACUAGUAACUUCAUUCGAUCAGCAUGCACAACCACAGAAAUUCAUCCCUUAGCAUCCUUUUGAGUCAGUCAAGAACAGAUGGUCUGGUUGAUAAAAUCAUAAAAUACAUUUCUGGCCGUGACACAUGGAGAUGCCAGAUACCUCAAAUGGUUCAAAUGUUCAUUCCGGUGAGAUGGUUUGGUUACUAACUCCAAACUUAUGAUAUUAAUAGCAUUACCAUAUGGUAUAUCGAUGUAAAUUAAUUAACCGACUGUCCCGGGCAAUUGGGCUGCUAGGUAUUACAAUACAGAUGUCUGCAUAGAAACUGGAGUUAUAUUUGUCAUAUGUUGAAUGUUCUUACGAUUGGAAAUAUAGAUGAAUUUUCAGUGUGUUAAA